rnacentral:rRNA from 1 species
AUUGAACGCUGGCGGCAUGCUUUACACAUGCAAGUCGAACGGCAGCACGGGCUUCGGCCUGGUGGCGAGUGGCGAACGGGUGAGUAAUAUAUCGGAACGUACCCAGAAGUGGGGGAUAACGUAGCGAAAGUUACGCUAAUACCGCAUACGAUCUAUGGAUGAAAGCAGGGGACCGCAAGGCCUUGUGCUCCUGGAGCGGCCGAUAUCUGAUUAGCUAGUUGGUGAGGUAAAGGCUCACCAAGGCGACUAUCAGUAGCUGGUCUGAGAGGACGACCAGCCACACUGGAACUGAGACACGGUCCAGACUCCUACGGGAGGCAGCAGUGGGGAAUUUUGGACAAUGGGCGCAAGCCUGAUCCAGCAAUGCCGCGUGAGUGAAGAAGGCCUUCGGGUUGUAAAGCUCUUUUGUCAGGGAAGAAACGGUAGAGGCUAAUAUCCUUUGCUAAUGACGGUACCUGAAGAAUAAGCACCGGCUAACUACGUG